AAUAAUCUCAUUUUUCGUAUUUUUGUGUCUAACGUUUGACCAUUUAUCUUAUUUAAAAUUGUUUUAUAAUUAAUAUAUUUAUUAUUACUAGAUAAUAAAAUAUGGAUAGUAUUUUAUACGUAACUAAUUUUUUUAAGUCUUUUUAUAAUUUUUUUUCAAAUAAGACGAAUGAUCAAAUGUUAGACACAGAAAA
rnacentral:pre_miRNA from 1 species